UCCCAUAUAGUGUAGUGGUUAGCAUGUCAGGUUUUCAACAACUUGCAUCCUGCCUUCCAAGCAGGAUGGGUAUUGUGAUUACCCUGGAGACCCGGGUUCAAACCCCGGUGUGGGAA